CGAAAGAAGCUUAGUGGCGAACGGGUGAGUAACACGUAGGCAACCUGCCCAAAAGAGGGGGAUAACACUUGGAAACAGGUGCUAAUACCGCAUAACCAUGAACACCGCAUGAUGUUCAUGUAAAAGACGGCUUUUGCUGUCGCUUUUGGAUGGGCCUGCGGCGUAUUAACUUGUUGGUGGGGUAACGGCCUACCAAGGUGAUGAUACGUAGCCGAACUGAGAGGUUGAUCGGCCACAUUGGGACUGAGACACGGCCCAAACUCCUACGGGAGGCAGCAGUAGGGAAUCUUCCACAAUGGACGAAAGUCUGAUGGAGCAACGCCGCGUGAAUGAAGAAGGCCUUCGGGUCGUAAAAUUCUGUUGUCAGAGAAGAACGUGCGUGAGAGUAACUGUUCACGUAUUGACGGUAUCUGACCAGAAAGCCACGGCUAACUACGUGCCAGCAGCCGCGGUAAUACGUAGGUGGCGAGCGUUGUCCGGAUUUAUUGGGCGUAAAGGGAACGCAGGCGGUCUUUUAAGUCUGAUGUGAAAGCCUUCGGCUUAACCGAAGUAGUGCAUUGGAAACUGGAAGACUUGAGUGCAGAAGAGGAGAGUGGAACCCCAUGUGUAGCGGUGAAAUGCGUAGAUAUAUGGAAGAACACCAGUGGCGAAAGCGGCUCUCUGGUCUGUAACUGACGCUGAGGUUCGAAAGCGUGGGUAGCAAACAGGAUUAGAUACCCUGGUAGU
rnacentral:rRNA from 1 species